AUUGAACGCUGGCGGCAGGCCUAACACAUGCAAGUCGAGCGGAUGAAGGGAGCUUGCUCCUGGAUUCAGCGGCGGACGGGUGAGUAAUGCCUAUGAAUCUGCCUGGUAGUGGGGGAUAACGUCCUGAAACGGGCGCUAAUACCGCAUACGUCCUGAGGGAGAAAGUGGGGGAUCUUCGGACCUCACGCUAUCAGAUGAGCCUAGGUCGGAUUAGCUAGUUGGUGGGGUAAAGGCCUACCAAGGCGACGAUCCGUAACUGGUCUGAGAGGAUGAUCAGUCACACUGGAACUGAGACACGGUCCAGACUCCUACGGGAGGCAGCAGUGGGGAAUAUUGGACAAUGGGCGAAAGCCUGAUCCAGCCAUGCCGCGUGUGUGAAGAAGGUCUUCGGAUUGUAAAGCACGUUAAGUUGGGAGGAAGGGCAGUAAGUUAAUACCUUGCUGUUUUGACGUUACCAACAGAAUAAGCACCGGCUAACUUCGUG
rnacentral:rRNA from 1 species